rnacentral:rRNA from 1 species
UACGUAGGGCGCAAGCGUUGCCCGGGAUUAUUGGGCGUAAAGAGCUCGUAGGCGGCUUGUCACGUCGGGUGUGAAAGCCCGGGGCUUAACCCCGGGUCUGCAUUCGAUACGGGCUAGCUAGAGUGUGGUAGGGGAGAUCGGAAUUCCUGGUGUAGCGGUGAAAUGCGCAGAUAUCAGGAGGAACACCGGUGGCGAAGGCGGAUCUCUGGGCCAUUACUGACGCUGAGGAGCGAAAGCGUGGGGAGCGAACAGG